rnacentral:rRNA from 1 species
AAGAGAUCGGGAUAACACCUGGAAACAGAUGCUAAUACCGGAUAACAANAGAUGAUGCCUAUCAACUGUUUAAAAGAUGGUUCUGCUAUCACUCUUGGAUGGACCUGCGGUGCAUUAGCUAGUUGGUAGGGUAACGGCCUACCAAGGCGAUGAUGCAUAGCCGAGUUGAGAGACUGAUCGGCCACAUUGGGACUGAGACACGGCCCAAACUCCUACGGGAGGCAGCAGCC